CAGAUGUAAGAGAAAGAGGAAGAGAUCUCAAACAUCCUUCUUCUACCGAUUAUCUCUAAUCUAACCUCAAACAUCCUUAUCCUCUUUUUUAAAUUUUUAUUUAUUUCCAUUCAUGGGGGGAAAAAUUAAAAAUGAAGGAACACUUAUUGCUUUGUAUAUUUUGUGGAUAAACGAUUGCUUCUAGGGAACUGGGUUUACCAUGUUAAACUCUAUGCAUUGGCUAAAUCAUAAAAUACUAAAGCAAAUUUUGCUUUAACAUGCUACAUGAAUACUUGUUUCUCCUGAAGAAGGCACGGGGGCAACAAUAUCUGAUGAUAAUGAUGAUCAAGUAUAUAGCGGCACCAACAUUUUCAAUGGAAGUUUUGAUGAACAGCAAACGCGAGCUGAAACAAAGCUGCCUCGAGCAGCACUACUUUGAACACUAGGAAGCUCGACGAAGAGAUAGAGAAUCUUUCUCAUGAGUAUAUUUUAAAGUCGAGCGUGCACGUGUAUAUAUAUCUGACUCAUUUACUUCUUUUAAAUUCCUUGUACAUUUUCUGAAUGAAUUUUACAAUUCAUUUAAACUUCUUUCCACAUCGAGAUGAUAUAUGUGUUGAUACACCUA